rnacentral:rRNA from 1 species
CGUGUAGGCGGCCUUUUAAGCCUGAUGUGAAAGCCCGGGGCUUACCCCCGGAAGUGCAUUGGAGACUGGGAGGCUCGAGUACCGGAGAGGAGGGUGGAAUUCCUGGUGUAGCGGUGAAAUGCGUAGAUAUCAGGAGGAACACCGGUGGCGAAGGCGGCCCUCUGGACGGAUACUGACGCUGAGACGCGAAAGCGUGGGGGGCAAACAGGAUUAGAUACCCUGGUAGUCCACGCUGUAAACGAUGGGCACUAGGUGUUCGGGGUAUUGACCCCCUGAGUGCCGCAGCUAACGCAUUAAGUGCCCCGCCUGGGGACUACGGCCGCAAGGUUAAA